ensembl:lncRNA
AAUUACUUUGGUUUCGAAGGAACUCAUGCACAAUAACCUGCUAACUCCCAAAGUGAAAAUACGGACUUGCUCCUUGUUCAUUUCCAGGUCCACUGGACUGGAGCCAUAAAUGAAGAGUUUUGGCUCAUUAGGAAGGACAGAUUAUCGGGCAUGGUGUGGAGCCACCCAUGCUUUAUGAGGCUGGGAAUGAGUUACACAAAGUCCCGCAGAGUGAGAAAGGAAGAUGUUUGGAAAUAUUUUUCUGCUUAAAGCUCUGAGAUUGCAAGGGUUUUCUUAGCCCUGUGGAAUUUCUCUAAGUGCCUGGGGAUUUCUAGGUUUCUAAGAAGCUUGAGGUGGUUGUUAACCUAAUACACAGUUGAAGGGAGCCAAGACAGCCUUCCUAUGCCAGCUGUGUGGUAGGACGUCUUCUUAAAAGGCUCUUUAAAAUCAGUGAGAGAGAUUCCAUGGUUCACCACCCAGAACAAGGUGCUUUCUUCCAUCUCAUAUGCCAAAAAAGCACUGAAAAUCCAGAGCACCAUUACUGAUUGGAAGACCAAAGGCUUGAUCUAGAAAUCACACACCAGGAGUUGUCUCACAUGGUUAUGGAGGCUGAGAAGUCCCACGAUCUGUAUCUGUAAGCUGGAGAACCAAGAAAGGCAGUGGUGUAAUUCAGUAUAAGUCCACAGGCCUGAAUUGGGUGGUGAGGUGGGCAAUGUUGUAAAUUCCAGUCUGAGUCUGAAAGCCCAAGAACCAGAAGUGCUGACAUCCAAGGGCAGGAGAAGAUGGGUGCCUCAGCUCCAGCAGAGACAGCAAGUUUGCCCUUCCUCCGCCUUUUUGUUCUUUUCAGGCCUUCAGUGGAUUGGGUGACACCUUCCCGAUUGCAUCUGCCCAUCCCAUGAUGACUUCUCCCCUGCAAAGCCAACUGCCUUCUCUCCUUACCAGCCUCCCCACCAAUGAAGUGGGCCGGGGUAGGGGACCAUUGUGUUGCUGUGACCCGUGCCUCCACCUAUGCCUAACCUCUGCCACAGCUGAAUGAACAGGACUAGCACUAGAUUCAAGAGCAGCAUGAUCUCAGGAAAUGAUAGGAUGGAUUACAAACCCCCAUCGGCACUAAGGAUUCCUAGCCAAUCAUCCGGGACUAUUGCUUCAGCAAAGAGAGAGUCUUUGAGCAAAGGCCUGCCUUCACCAUUCUCCCGAGCAGCAGCACAUCUCUUCAGAAAUCUCAAUCUAAUGGGGGAAAGAAGGCUUCUCCCACGCCUGACGUCUUCAAAGAUGGCAACUAGGAAUCCAGAUUAUAUGCAGAACUUCUCUUCCUCCAGGAUGGGUACAGUGGAGCAAAGUUAUAGAUGGACCAGAAAGGCAGCUCAGGAUGGAGAAUAAAGUUUCAGGAAAUUCAGCAAAGUGAGCCCACUGGGAAUUUUUUAAAAUUCUAGGCCAAUGAUUGGAUAGGAAUACAGUCAGUGUUCCCAGUGUGAAGACUUUCCCUUCUGGCUAUUGAUCUUGCAGCAAUCAGACAGCUGUUUGCAGGGGAAUGAUCACUCUUUUCCUUUACAUAAUAUUCAUAAAUGUGCAGGCAAAUUAAAUGUGUCAUAGAUGAGAUUACCAACCAGAGUACCACCCGGCUGUCUCAUGUGAGCUUGGUUUAUGGAUCCAGUGUUCUCCAGCGAGCAUCACAAAUCCACAUAAUGUUCCCAAGUGCUAAAUUUGGAGCUCUGAUUUAGCUGACAGAUGUUUAAAAUCACAUUUAGUUGGACAACUCCCUGAGGAGGACACAGCUGCAGAUGUGAAAGAGAGCAAGUUAUUCCAGUUAAGGUCGGCGGGAACUCAGCCUGAAAACCUUCCGUCUCGAUCCGCCUUCUUCAGACAGGAUGAUAUGGGUGAAGGAACAUUUUCAUGCUGAUUCCACCCACCUUUGGCCAAACCUCAUCCCUUUGUUGAAUGGUUGCCAAGAUAAAUGCAGAAGUUGCAUCUUAGGCAAAGUGUGGGCUGCUCCAGUCAGCUGAAAUUGAGUAAAAGGGUGCUGCUAGCCCUUUAAAAACAGGCACAAAGCCACAUUUUGGAGCCUGCUUUGCCCCUGUGGUGGCAUCUGAGGCCUGCAAAUGAGUAUGAUUCUGGAAUUUUGCACUUCAGGAUCAGUUAUUCAGAUGGAUAGUUGAAGUCCAUGUGCUGAAUGAGGACAGAGAGGAAAAUGGUGCCAUUUACCCUCCCCCCACCCCAACAUCCCAAACAGCUCUCCUUCAUUUUUUAAAAACAACAAAAUUAAAAUUAUCCUGGAAUCUUCUUUGCAAAAAUCACAUAUUUUAGACUUGUUUCAAGACUCAGACUGAAACGAAUUUGUUUAAAAAAAAUUGUCUGUAUUUGAUGUGGGAGACUAGUGACCUUUGGUAUUUUGUGUAAAAAAAAUAAAAUGUUUG